CGGCGUGCUUAAACAUGCAAGUCGAGUGCGCGGUUGUAGCAAUACAACUGGCGCACGGCGCACGGGUGCGUAACACGUGGGUAACCUGCCCUUUAGUGGGGAAUAACCCCGGGAAACCGGGGCUAAUACCGCAUAAGAUCCGCAAGGAUGAAAGCCGUAAGGCGCUGAUGGAGGGGCCCGCGCACGAUUAGCUAGUUGGUAGGGUAACGGCCUACCAAGGCUAUGAUCGUUAGCUGGUCUGAGAGGAUGGCCAGCCACACUGGAACUGAGACACGGUCCAGACUCCUACGGGAGGCAGCAGUGGGGAAUCUUGCACAAUGGGCGAAAGCCUGAUGCAGCGACGCCGCGUGGGGGAUGAAGCUUCUCGGAGUGUAAACCCCCUUUCGACCCGGACGAAUGCCCGCAAGGGAUUGACGGUACGGGUAUAAGAAGCCCCGGCUAACUACGUGCCAACAGCCGCGGUAA
rnacentral:rRNA from 1 species